rnacentral:snRNA from 1 species
AUACUUAACCUGGCAGAGCAGAUGCCAUAAUCACAAAGGUGGAUUUCCCAAGGUGAGACUUAACCAUUGCAUUCUGGAAAUGCUGACCACUGUGAUUUCCCCAAAUGUGGAAAACUUGACUGCAUAAUUUGUGA